GAUAAGAACGUAGCGAAAUGCGAUAAGUAAUGUGAAUUGCAGAAUUCAGUGAAUCAUCGAAUCUUUGAACGCACAUUGCGCCCGCCAGUAUUCUGGCGGGCAUGCCUGUUCGAGCGUCAUUUCAACCCUCAAGCCCAGCUUGGUGUUGGGGAUCGGCACAGGCGCCCUCGGGCGCCCGCCGUCCCCUAAAUCUAGUGGCGGUCCCGCUGCAGCCUCCUCUGCGUAGUAGUUUUCUCCUCGCAAGGGCAGCUCGGUGGCGACCUCGCCGUAAAACCCCCAACUUCUGAAAGGUUGACCUCGAAUCAGGUAGGAAUACCCGCUGAACUUAAGCAUAUCAAUAAGCGGAGGA
rnacentral:misc_RNA from 1 species